rnacentral:rRNA from 1 species
UACGGGGGAUGCAAGCGUUAUCCGGAAUUAUUGGGCGUAAAGCGUCCCGAGGUGGCUUACCCAGUCGACUGUGAAAGCUCAGGGCUUAACCUUGAAACUGCAGUCGAAACUUGUAAGCUUGAGUACGGUAGAGGCAGAGGGAAUUCCCGGAGGAGAGGUGAAAUUCGUAGAUAUCGGGAGGAAGGCCAAAGGCGAAAGCACUCUGCUGGGCCGAUUACUGACACUGACAGACGAAAGCUAGGGGAGCGAAAGGG